rnacentral:rRNA from 1 species
UACAGAGGUCUCAAGCGUUGUUCGGAUUCAUUGGGCGUAAAGGGUGCGUAGGUGGCGCCGUAAGUGGGGUGUGAAAUCUCGGGGCUUAACUCCGAAACUGCAUUCCAUACUGCGGUGCUCGAGGACUGGAGAGGAGACUGGAAUUCAUGGUGUAGCAGUGAAAUGCGUAGAGAUCAUGAGGAAGACCAGUGGCGAAGGCGGGGUCUCUGGACAGUUCCUGACACUGAGGCGCGAGAGCGUGGGGGAGCAAACAGG